AUUUCAGAAAUUCGCUUAUGAACAAUGGAUCCUCUUAAAAUCAAAGAAGAAAUGGAAAUAUUGUGUGAAAAGCAUGAGAAAAAUAAAAAUGAAGUACUUGAAAGAAACACAUUAAACAUAAAUUAUCUAUUAAGGAAACGUGAUGAUACGACAGAAAUUUUUAAUGCUUUCGAACGCUUAUUCACGUCCUUGCUUCCUAUAAUAGAACCUGCUGACAAAUGGCGUUUAAAAGGACAGACGAUAUUAAAUGAUAUAAUAACUUUUAUUAAUGGAUUGACUGAAAAAAUAGAUGAAAUUCGAGAAGUCGAACGUGACAAUGAAGCUGCAGAUAGUUUAAGUGGCGACGAUGAACGCGACUUUGGGCGUGAUCAUAAUGACUCUAUUUACAAACAAAAUGAUUUGUAAGUUUAUUUAAUUUCUGAUCAUUUAAUAAAAAUUUCAUAGAAUUGUUAAAUUUCUAUUCUUUCAUAA